AGUGAACGCUGGCGGCGUGCUUAACACAUGCAAGUCGAACGAGAACGGAUUAUAGCUUGCUAUAAUUGUCAGCUAAGUGGCGCACGGGUGAGUAAUGUAUAGGUAAUAUGCCUCUUACUAAGGGAUAACAAUUGGAAACGAUUGCUAAUACCUUAUACUCCUUAUUAACCUAAGUUAAUAAGGGAAAGAUUUAUUGGUAAGAGAUUAGCCUGUAUUGUAUCAGUUAGUUGGUGGGGUAAUGGCCUACCAAGACUAUGACACAUAACUGGUUUGAGAGGAUGAUCAGUCACACUGGAACUGAGACACGGUCCAGACUCCUACGGGAGGCAGCAGUGGGGAAUAUUGCACAAUGGACGAAAGUCUGAUGCAGCAACGCCGCGUGGAGGAUGACACAUUUCGG
rnacentral:rRNA from 1 species